rnacentral:rRNA from 1 species
CCUACGGGUGGCAGCAGUGAGGAAUAUUGGUCAAUGGACGCAAGUCUGAACCAGCCAUGCCGCGUGCAGGAAGACGGCUCUAUGAGUUGUAAACUGCUUUCGUACGAGGGUAAACGCAGAUACGCGUAUCUGUCUGAAAGUACCGUACGAAUAAGGACAGGCUAACUCCGUGCCAGCAGCCGCGGUAAUACGGAGGAUUCAAGCGUUAUCCGGAUUUAUUGGGUUUAAGGGGUGCGUAGGUGGUCGGAAAAGUUAGAGGUGAAAGCCCGAGGCUCAACUUCGGAAUUGCCUCUGAUACUGUUCGGCUAGAGAGUAGUUGCGGUAGGCGGAAUGUAUGGUGUAGCGGUGAAAUGCUUAGAGAUCA